AUGAGAAAGUGUCAGAGAGGUGAAGGGACCUGCCCAGGGUCACACAGUAAACCCGCAUGGGUGAGGGCAGAGCAAGCCAGGGCAAGUCUGGUGGGGCGGGCCGGGUUGGGCAAGGCCUGGAUGCAGGCUUCCUUUCCCUUUGCCUUGACCCUGAGCGGCAGGCGGUGCAAGGUGUGCUGUGCGAGGGCGACAGCAGGCAGAGCCGCCUCCUGGGACUCGUGCGCUGCUGUCCGGAGCGAGGUGGCCAGGAACACGCUCUCUUCCUGUAUACGCACCGGAGGAUGGCCAUUACCGGGGACGAUGUCUCCUUGGACCAGAUCGUGCCAGUCUCUCGGGAUUUCACACUGGAAGAAGUGUCCCCGGAUGGUGAGCUCUACAUUCUUGGCUCAGAUGUCACCGUCCAGCUGGACACAGCAGAGCUCAGCCUCCUUUUCCAGCUCCCCUUUGGUUCACACACCAGAACGUUCCUCCAGGAAGUUGCCAGGGCCUGUCCAGGCUUCGUCCCAGCGAUCCCAGAUCCUGAGUUCCUGUGGCUGUCUCGAUACAGGUGCACUGAGCCGAAGCCCGAGCCGCCCACGCCGCGAAGCUGGAAUUCGGCCCCAGGCACCUGGCCGGGGCGUGCCAGAAUUGGCGGAGGCAGGUAUCGGUCUUGGAAGGCGCGAAAGGGAUUGGAGGAGACCUCGCCUCGGGACGGGCCCCGUUCUGUUUGGGGGCGGGGCUACAAAGCAGACAGGCCUUCGAUUGGCGGGGGUGGCACGCGGGGGCGGGCUCCUUUGGGGGGCGGAGCUGGGGGCGGAGCGGCUCGGGCAGCGAGAUGAAGAGCUUGAGGAAGCUGGCAGGGAAAUGUCCGCCGCCGACGGCUCUCGGGAGCGCGACUCUGCAGGUGGUUCUUCCUCUGACGAGCUGAGACCAAAUGGGAAGGGCCUGCCUGUGGACCAAAGCUCCUGGGGUCAGAAUAAACCAGAAAACUCGCUCUCAAGACAGAACAAGUCCAAAUCUGAAAUAAGCAACAUGGUUCGCUCCUCUACUAUCACAGUAUCAGACAAGGCUCACAUUUUAUCCAUGCAGAAGUUUGGACUGCGAGAUACAAUUGUGAAAUCACAUCUAAUACAGAAAGAAGAGGAUUAUACCUACAUCCAGAACUUCAGGUUCCAGGAGCUUGAUCUGAGUAAGGAAGCCUUUUUCUUCCACGAUACCCCAAAGGAGGAAGAGUGGUUUAAAGCUGUAUCAGAGGGUCUUCAUCCAGACGCCAAAUAUGCAAAGGUGAAGCUCAUCCGACUGGUUGGGAUUAUGCUGCUGCUAUAUGUCAAACAGGAGCAUGCCGCGUACAUCUCAGAAGUGGAAGCUGAGACAGUAGGGACAGGAAUCAUGGGGAGAAUGGGUAACAAAGGGGGCGUGGCCAUCCGGUUCCGGUUUCACAACACCAGCAUCUGCGUGGUCAAUUCCCACCUGGCAGCCCACACGGAGGAGUACGAGAGGAGGAACCAGGACUACAAAGACAUUUGUUCUCGAAUGCAGUUCUGUCAGGUCGACCCAAGCCUGCCCCCUCUCACCAUCAGCAAGCACGAUGUGAUCUUGUGGCUGGGGGACCUCAACUACAGGAUAGAAGAUCCAGAUGUGGAAAAAGUGAAAAAACUCAUCGAAGAGAAGGCCUUUCAAACGCUGUAUGCAUAUGACCAGCUGAGAGCUCAGGUGGCUGCAAAGGCUGUCUUCGAGGGCUUCAGUGAGGGUGAGCUCACGUUCCAGCCUACCUAUAAGUAUGAUACUGGCUCCGAUGACUGGGAUACCAGCGAGAAGUGUCGUGCUCCUGCCUGGUGUGACCGGGUCCUCUGGAAAGGGAAGAACAUCACUCAGCUGAGCUACCAGAGCCACAUGGCCCUGAAGACCAGUGACCACAAGCCUGUCAGCUCAGUGUUUGACAUUGGGGUGAGGGUCAUCAAUGAAGAGCUGUAUCGGAAAACUCUGGAGGAGAUUGUUCGCUCCCUGGAUAAGAUGGAAAACGCCAAUAUCCCUUCCGUGUCCCUCUCCAAGCGAGAGUUCUGCUUUCAGAAUGUGAAGUACAUGCAUCUGCAGGUAGAGUCCUUCACCAUUCGGAAUGGGCAGGUGCCGUGUCAGUUUGAGUUCAUCAGCAAGCCUAACGAAGAGUCCUACUGUAAGCAGUGGCUUCGCGCCAGCCCCAGCAGAGGGUUCCUCCUGCCAGAUUCUUCCGUUGAGAUUGAAUUAGAGCUAUUUGUAAAUAAGACCACAGCUACAAAGCUCAACUCGGGUGAAGACAAAAUCGAGGACAUUCUGGUUUUGCACUUGGACAGAGGAAAGGAUUACUUCUUGUCUGUGUCUGGGAACUACAUGCCAAGCUGCUUCGGAUCGCCCAUUCACACGUUGUGCUACAUGAAGGAGCCAAUUUUGGACUUGCCACUAGAAACCAUUAGAGAGCUGACUCUGAUGCGACUCCAGACUGAAGAUAAUGGGAGCCAAUUGGAGAAACCCAUGGACAUCCCCAAGGAGCUCUGGAUAUUGGUUGAUUACCUGUACCGAAAUGCCAUCCAGCAGGAAGAUCUGUUUCAGCAGCCAGGCCUGAGGUCAGAAUUUGAUCAUAUCAGGGACUGUUUAGAUACUGGGACGAUUGAUAACCUCUCUGCCAGCAAUCAUUCUGUGGCCGAAGCCCUGCUGCUCUUCUUGGAGAGCCUGCCAGAGCCUGUCAUCUGUUUCAGCGCCUACCGCAACUGCUUGGAGUGUUCCGGCAACCUCACAGCAAGUAAACAGGUCAUUACUACCCUUCCUGCGUGCCACAGAAAUGUCUUCACCUAUUUGAUGGCGUUUUUGCAAGAAUUGCUGAAAAAUUCAGCAAAAAACCAUUUGGAUGAUAAUAUUCUAGCCAGCAUAUUUGGUAGCCUGCUGCUUCGAAACCCAGCUGGUCACCAAAAGCUUGAAAUGGCAGAAAAGAAGAAGGCUCAAGAAUUUGUUCACCAGUUCCUCACUCACCCCGAGCCUCUUUCUCUCCUCUCCUAUUCUGCCUGAGACAGCCAGUUACCCGCCCCACCUGUUUCAGCUCCAGAGCUGCCCUAAGAGGAUAUGAGCCCACAGGGAAGCCUGAGUGGCAGCUGCCUGUUUCUUGAGCCCAGACUGCCCUCUCCACCAUGACCAUCACACUCAGUGCUGCUGCGAAGAGUGAAGACAUUGUGAAGACAUUGAGGGGAAGUCCACCACAGUAAAACUGACAUGCAGCGUUCAACUUUAGUUUUUUAACAGAUUUUUUUUUUUUAAACGUUUAAACAGCCAUACUCCUUGUGCUCAACCUGCUUCCAAGACAUACAGUGCCUUCCCUGUAGCUUGAGCCGAGCUCCCCACAAUCAGAUAUUUGAACAGACUUUGGAGUCCUGAAGGAUGAAUGAGGAUGCAAAUACAAAGAAUGUAAAUGGAAGCUGCUGGAUAAACAGGCCACACAGCUUCUCCAGGUGCUUUCAGCGCUCU
rnacentral:lncRNA from 1 species